AAACAUUCUCUUGAAACACACCAGUCUUCCCUCAGUAUACAUUGAAGGUGAUUCAGCUCAUUGACAACCAACGCUUCCUUCUUGCUAAGACUUACUUCUCUGCAGGCUCAGUUUAUCUUGAUUUACACAAUGUGUGUCCUCUACGAGGCCCUGCUCCUUGCUCUGUUGUCUGUGGGAACAGCAGCACAGGCCCCAGAGGAUGGUGGACAUCUGGUCAAACCGCUCGCACCGGAAGGCCAGCAUACUAUCUUCGGGAAGUGGGUUCUUCAUCAAGGGUUUCCUGGACCAUGAGAUGUUCAAUGCGAUACUGAGAAAGACCAACAGCUCCUGGAUUGAAUUCUUUACCAGUUCCCACAACAAGAUAGUCUGUCUCCUCCAGGGAGACCUGAUAGAAUAAUGUGACUUCCGCGGGACAUUUACUGCAAACCUAUCCUCUGUCUCGCCAUGCACAGCAGGAGCACCAUGGCCGGAGUGCAUAUCUGAUCUCUCUAUAUCUUUGGGAAGCCCAGGACACUGCCAGAGUCAGAGCUGAAGCAUUUCUGGAAAGCAGCAGAAUGCCUCCAGUAUCCUCCGCCUGCACAGUAUUCAUUAUUUACCCUAACCCUACCCUACUCAACAAAAGGGACACCAGGCAACAUUUAGUAUUGAUUUAGAAUGUUGUAAUUUAACAGACUAGAAUAGAUCUCUAUUGGCUGAGUCCUUGUGUGUUUAGAACCUUGUUAAAGUUUUCACUAACAUCUCCUCUCUUCUCUCUGCAGAAUUUGCGCUGAGAUAAAAGAGAGCUUGCGAAUUGCUGAAUCUCAAUAUAUAAUAUGGUUCACAGUAAUAUGGCUACUGAUGAUGAAAUGGUUGCAUGAAUAAAAUCAUUUGGACUCUAACAAAAAGUUGGUGCUUCCUGACAAUCCUUAGACAGACAGACAGACAGACAGACAGACAGACAGACAGACAGACAGACAGACAGACAGACAGACAGACAGACAGACAGACAGACAGACAGACAGACAGACAGACAGACAGACAGUAGUUUGUACACAGUGAGGUUGUUCAUUAGAAAAUGGGAUUCACAUUAAGGCCAAACACAAAGCUAAAUUUCCAUGCAUAACCUUGUACUAUGGUCCGUUACCAAAAACCAAACACAUAGAAGACAGCUGCUCUAGGAUUAAAUAAACACAAAAUGCAUUAAUCAUUAUCAAAGCAUUUCUGAGUUCCUGAACGCUGUCACGGUACCCAUGGUGGAAUCCAUAGCCCCAGGAUCAA